UACGAAGGGUGCAAGCGUUACUCGGAAUUACUGGGCGUAAAGCGUGCGUAGGUGGUGAGUUAAGUCUGUCGUGAAAGCCCCGGGCUCAACCUGGGAAUGGCGAUGGAUACUGGCUCGCUAGAGUACGGUAGAGGGGGAUGGAAUUCCGCGUGUAGCAGUGAAAUGCGUAGAUAUGCGGAGGAACACCGAUGGCGAAGGCAAUCCCCUGGACCUGUACUGACGCUCAUGCACGAAAGCGUGGGGAGCAAACAGG
rnacentral:rRNA from 1 species